rnacentral:misc_RNA from 1 species
CGAGGUCGGACGGGAUGAGA